rnacentral:rRNA from 1 species
GAUAGAGGCCUACCAUGGUUUUAACGGGUAACGGGGAAUUAGGGUUCGAUUCCGGAGAGGGAGCCUGAGAAACGGCUACCACAUCCAAGGAAGGCAGCAGGCGCGCAAAUUACCCAAUCCCGAUACGGGGAGGUAGUGACAAUAAAUAACAAUACAGGGCUCUUAUGGGUCUUGUAAUUGGAAUGAGUACAAUUUAAAUCCCUUAACGAGGAACAAUUGGAGGGCAAGUCUGGUGCCAGCAGCCGCGGUAAUUCCAGCUCCAAUAGCGUAUAUUAAAGUUGUUGCAGUUAAAAAGCUCGUAGUUGAAUUUCGGAGUUCUACCGUUGGUCGGGCAAUAGUCUGUACUGGCGUGUAGAAUUUCUACCUUCUGGGGAACCAUCAUGUUAUUUAUUUAGCGUGGUGGGAAACCAGGACCUUUACCUUGAAAAAAUUAGAGUGUUCAAAGCAGGCUUACGUCUGAAUACAUUAGCAUGGAAUAAUAAAAUAGGACGGUGGUCCUGUUUUGUUGGUUUCUGAAUCACCGUAAUGAUUAAUAGGGAUAGUUGGGGGCAUUAGUAUUCAAUUGUCAGAGGUGAAAUUCUUGGAUUUAUUGAAGACUAACUUCUGCGAAAGCAUUUGCCAAGGAUGUUUUCAUUAAUCAAGAACGAAAGUUAGGGGAUCGAAGACGAUCAGAUACCGUCGUAGUCUUAACCAUAAACUAUGCCGACUAGGGAUCGGACGAUGUUAAUUUUUCUUGACUCGUGCCCCCCCUUACGGGAAACCAG